UACGUAGGGGGCAAGCGUUGUCCGGAAUCAUUGGGCGUAAAGAGCGCGUAGGCGGCCCUGUAAGUCCGCUGUGAAAGUCAAGGGCUCAACCCUUGGAUGCCGGUGGAUACUGCAGGGCUAGAGUCCGGAAGAGGCGAGUGGAAUUCCUGGUGUAGCAGUGAAAUGCGUAGAGAUCAGGAGGAACAUCAGUGGCGAAGGCGCUACUCUGGACUAAUACUGACGCUGAGGAGCGAAGGCGUGGGGAUCAAACAGG
rnacentral:rRNA from 1 species